GAUAAACGCUGGCGGCGCACAUAAGACAUGCAAGUCGAACGGACUUAACUCAUUCUUUACGAUUGAGAGCGGUUAGUGGCGGACUGGUGAGUAACACGUAAGCAACCUGCCUAUUAGAGGGGAAUAACAGUGAGAAAUCAUUGCUAAUACCGCAUAUGCUCACAGCAACACAUGUUGCAGUGAGGAAAGGAGUAAUCCGCUAAUAGAUGGGCUUGCGUCUGAUUAGCUAGUUGGUGGGGUAACGGCCUACCAAGGCGACGAUCAGUAGCCGGACUGAGAGGUUGAACGGCCACAUUGGGACUGAGAUACGGCCCAGACUCCUACGGGAGGCAGCAGUCGGGAAUAUUGCGCAAUGGAGGAAACUCUGACGCAGUGACGCCGCGUAUAGGAAGAAGGUUUUCGGAUUGUAAACUAUUGUCAUUAGGGAAGAUAAAAGACUGUACCUAAAGAGGAAGCACCGGCUAACUAUGUGCCAGCAGCCG
rnacentral:rRNA from 1 species